AACGAACGCUGGCGGCGCGCCUAAUACAUGCAAGUCGAGCGAGAAGACGUAGCAAUACGUUUGUAAAGCGGCGAACGGGUGAGGAAUACAUGGGUAACCUACCCUCGAGUGGGGAAUAACUAGCCGAAAGGUUAGCUAAUACCGCGUACGCUCCUUGGACUUCGGUUCAGGGAGGAAAGCGAUACCGUGGGUAUCGCGCUCUUGGAUGGGCUCAUGUCCUAUCAGCUUGUUGGUGAGGAACGGCUCACCAAGGCUUCGACGGUAGCUGGUCUGAGAGGACGAUCAGCCACACUGGCACUGCGACACGGGCCAGACUCCUACGGGAGGCAGCAGUAAGGAAUAUUGCGCAAUGGGCGAAAGCCUGACGCAGCGACGCCGCGUGGGGGAUGAAGGUCUUCGGA
rnacentral:rRNA from 1 species